AUGCGCCGCCUGUCCCUCCUCCUCCUGGCCGCGGCCGCCCUCCUCGCCGCCGCGGUGGCAGUAGUGCGCGCCGGGCCGGAAAUGCCCCAAGCGGCGUCGGUGGCAGGAAUGGGCGCCGGGCCGGGAGUGCCCCAAGCGGCGGCGGCGGCAGGAAUGGGCGCCGGGACGCAAGUGCCCAAAGCGGCGGCGGCGGCAGGAAUGGGCGCCGGGACGCAAGUGCCCCAAGCGGCGGCGGCAGGAGUGCUCGCCGGGCCGGGAGUGCCCCAGGCGGCGGCGGGGGGCCCGCCGGGCAAGCUGUCGCCCGAUUUCUACAGCCAGACGUGCCCACGGGCAGAGCGGAUCAUCGCGGAGGUGGUCCAGUCGAAGCAGAUGGCGAACCCGACCACCGCCGCGGGCAUGCUUCGCGUCUUCUUCCACGACUGCUUCGUGACCGGCUGCGACGCCUCCGUGCUGAUCGCGCCCACCCGCUUCGCCAAAUCCGAGAAGGACGCCGAGAUCAACCACUCCCUCCCCGGCGACGCCUUCGACGCCGUGGUGCGCUCCAAGUUGGCCCUGGAGCUGGAGUGCCCCGGCGUGGUUUCCUGCGCCGACGUCCUGGCCCUGGCGUCGAGGGUGCUGGUCACCAUGACCGGAGGCCCCAGGUACCCGGUCCCGCUGGGCCGCAAGGACUCGCUCUCCUCCAGCCCCACCGCCCCCGACGUGGAGCUCCCGCACUCCAACUUCACCGUGGGGCGCAUCCUCGAGCUCUUCCUGGCCAAGGGGUUCACGGUGCAGGAGAUGGUGGCGCUCUCCGGCGCGCACACGCUGGGCUUCUCGCACUGCCAGGAGUUCGCGUCCAGGAUCUACAACUACCGCGACAAGACCGGCAAGCCGGCGCCGUUCGACCCGACCAUGAACCCGGGCUACGCCAAGGGGCUCCAGGCCGCCUGCAAGGAGUACCUCAAGGACCCCACCAUCGCCGCCUUCAACGACGUCAUGACCCCCGGCAAGUUCGACAACAUGUACUACGUGAACAUUGAGCGCGGCCUGGGCCUGCUGAGCACCGACGAGGACAUGUGGUCGGACCUGCGCACCAGGCCCCUCGUGGAGCGCUACGCCGCCAACAACACCGCCUUCUUCGACGACUUCUCCCGCGCCAUGGAGAAGCUCAGCAUGUACGGCGUCAAGACCGGCGCCGACGGCGAGAUCAGGCGGCGCUGCGACGCCUACAACGACGGGCCCAACACCGUGUGA
rnacentral:rRNA from 1 species